rnacentral:rRNA from 1 species
UACGUAGGCAGCGAGCGUUGUUCGGAGUUACUGGGCGUAAAGCGUGCGUAGGCGGUGUCUUAAGUUUGUUGUGAAAUCUCCCGGCUUAACCGGGAGGGUGCGGCGAAUACUGAGAUGCUGGAGUGCCGGAGAGGUAAGCGGAAUUCCUGGUGGUAGCGGUGAAAUGCGUAGAUAUCAGGAGGGAACACCUGCGGUGUAGACGGCUUACUGGACGGUAACUGACGCUGAGGCACGAAAGCGUGGGUAGCAAACAGG